rnacentral:sRNA from 1 species
CCUUAAAUUAAUUCUGGGUUAUGCUUGUUUCUCAGUUACUCUUUCAACCUGAUCAGAACGCACCACCAAUUCGUCUCCGACACAGACGAUCACGCUCUGCAGGAGACAGAUGGGUAGAUCAUAAGCCCGCCUCUAACAUGCAAACUGAAACAGUCAUGCAGCCACAUGUCCCUCAUGCCAUCACAGUAUCUGUUGCAAAUGAAAAGGCACUAGCUAAGUGUGAGAAGUACAUGCUGACCCACCAGGAACUAGCCUCCGAUGGGGAGAUUGAAACUAAACUAAUUAAGGGUGAUAUUUAUAAAACAAGGGGUGGUGGACAAUCUGUUCAGUUUACUGAUAUUGAGACUUUAAAGCAAGAAUCACCAAAUGGUAGUCGAAAACGAAGAUCUUCCACAGUAGCACCUGCCCAACCAGAUGGUGCAGAGUCUGAAUGGACCGAUGUAGAAACAAGGUGUUCUGUGGCUGUGGAGAUGAGAGCAGGAUCCCAGCUGGGACCUGGAUAUCAGCAUCACGCACAACCCAAGUGAGUACU